rnacentral:rRNA from 1 species
ACGAAACUUCUUUAUCACCGAGUGCUUGCACUCACCGAUAAAGAGUUGAGUGGCGAACGGGUGAGUAACACGUGGGCAACCUGCCCAAAAGAGGGGGAUAACACUUGGAAACAGGUGCUAAUACCGCAUAACCAUAGUUACCGCAUGGUAACUAUGUAAAAGGUGGCUAUGCUACCGCUUUUGGAUGGGCCCGCGGCGCAUUAGCUAGUUGGUGGGGUAAAGGCUUACCAAGGCAAUGAUGCGUAGCCGAACUGAGAGGUUGAUCGGCCACAUUGGGACUGAGACACGGCCCAAACUCCUACGGGAGGCAGCAGUAGGGAAUCUUCCACAAUGGGCGAAAGCCUGAUGGAGCAACGCCGCGUGGGUGAAGAAGGUCUUCGGAUCGUAAAACCCUGUUGUUAGAGAAGAAAGUGCGUGAGAGUAACUGUUCACGUUUCGACGGUAUCUAACCAGAAAGCCACGGCUAACUACGUGCCAGCAGCCGCGGUAAUACGUAGGUGGCAAGCGUUAUCCGGAUUUAUUGGGCGUAAAGGGAACGCAGGCGGUCUUUUAAGUCUGAUGUGAAAGCCUUCGGCUUCCCCGGCGUCGUGCCUUGGUGGCUGGGNGCCUUGUGUGCUGCCGCGGCGCGUGGCCUUCCCUGUGUGGCGGCGCCCUGCGUCGCUCUUUGGGAGAGCCCCCGUGGCGNNNGCGGCUCUUUGGUCUGUNNCUGNCGNUNNNNUUCNNNNGCNUGGGGGGCCCUUUUAGGGNGGNCCCNNGGNNGNCCNCGANGNGAGAGGGCCCUUUUAUGGUGUUGGAGGGUUUCCGCCCUUCAGUGCUGCAGCUAACGCAAUAAGCAUUCCGCCUGGGGAGUACGACCGCAAGGUUGAAACUCAAAGGAAUUGACGGGGGCCCGCACAAGCGGUGGAGCAUGUGGUUUAAUUCGAAGCAACGCGAAGAACCUUACCAGGUCUUGACAUCUUUUGACAAUCCUAGAGAUAGGACUUUCCCUUCGGGGACAAAAUGACAGGUGGUGCAUGGUUGUCGUCAGCUCGUGUCGUGAGAUGUUGGGUUAAGUCCCGCAACGAGCGCAACCCUUAUUGUUAGUUGCCAGCAUUAAGUUGGGCACUCUAGCAAGACUGCCGGUGACAAACCGGAGGAAGGUGGGGAUGACGUCAAAUCAUCAUGCCCCUUAUGACCUGGGCUACACACGUGCUACAAUGGACGGUACAACGAGUCGCAAGACCGCGAGGUUUAGCAAAUCUCUUAAAGCCGUUCUCAGUUCGGAUUGUAGGCUGCAACUCGCCUACAUGAAGUCGGAAUCGCUAGUAAUCG